GGUAUUACACAAUUAUUAUUAGUAAUAUUAUUAUUAUUAUCAGCUACAAUGACCCUUAAAGGAAUGAAAACCGAAAAAUGAUUUGGCUGAAAAAACGCUUUAUUAUAAUUUCACAAAAUAUUAUGUCCUGACAAAACUUUAAACGUUUUCUUAGAGAAGUUAUGUGUAAAAAAUCUCCCUUUUGAAAAUAAAUAAAAAGAUUUGCAGGUGCGAUUCUCCGUCCGCUUGCAUAUUUUUUAAAAUUCCGCAGAUAAGCAAAUGUACAUGGUAUGAUAACUGUCAAUUUCAUGGUAUACCAUGAUAUCGGUAUACCGCUGCAACCCUAGCUGUGACUCUGUUGUCAACUGCACUUUCAUUUUGGUAUCAGCCACCUCCCUCAGAGUGAAUUAGUCUAAUGUCAUAGAAGAGUUUAAAUCAGCUUGUGUGAAACAACAAACAGCCUUGCAGUGUAUCUCACAGGUACACGUACCUUAACCCCCUAACAAUCAUUAGGUUUAUGAGGCUGCUGAGUGACAGCAGAUAUUGUUAAACUCAUUCAGGUUAACAGAGACAAACAGGUCACUCCGAUAGGCUGUAGAGAUUGUUUCUGUUAGAAAGAGGCAACUGCCCAGCCUGACGCUGUAUGUCAACAGACUGAGGAAAUUUAUAACAGAGCUUAUGAAUGUGGACAUGGCAUGGUCAGGAUGGCCAUAAACCUUUUUCCUGUAUCUGGUGCUAAUUAGAUUCUGCUUUGAUUAAUAGAGACACCAACCAGCUCCUUGACAACAAAACCCUUCUCUUUCACAGCUGCAAAAUAUUACAGUGGCUGCUAAGGUGCCAUGUGCCAUGAGUUUUCAUAACCUUUAAUACAACUGCAGACACUGAGUAAAGAUUUCACAUGAGAGUUUUCUGCUCACAGUAAUCUCAGUCUUCGUUCUAAUGAAGAAAGAGGUAAGGUAAGUUACCCAGUGUUUGCUAAAAAAAAAUUAAAGCCAAAAAUUAAGCAAACCCAUUUCAGUGGGUGUGAUGUGGAGUAAAAUCCAUGUCCUGGUGUAAAUGACAGGAACGUUAUGUGGUAGAAAAGAAUUUUAAUCACCACUAAAUAAUAUAAGUUGUUUAAAGAAAGUUGGGUUUUUUUGAUGAAUGUUUUGAUGAUGUUUUUUUCUCUUUGUCUUGAGUGAAGAGCAUUUUGUUACAGCAUUUUCUUUUUAGACGCUGAUUUUGUUGACAACACAACACAAUUUGGAGCAUGCAUUUGCUGUUUUGCAAACUGAAACACAGUUUUGGUUUUUGUGUUGCCUAUUCUCAAAACACAACCUUUUUCCUAUUUCUAAAAAAUAAUCCAAACAAUAGAGAAACACUAUAGCAGAGAGCUAUUAAACAUUUUAACAAUCAUACACACACACACUGACGCUUAUAUCAAUAAAUAGCCCAACACUGCCAAAUUAAAUUCUGCCAUUUGCAGAUCACAUCUGAUAUGAUCCCAGUUUUUUUUUUUUUUUGUUGAUUUUUGUUAUUUAACAUGUUUUUACUGUUUGAAUGUUUUUCUUGUCUUACAGUCUGACUUGUUAUUAUUUGUCUUAUUUGUUAGAGUGGUAAUUUUAACUGUAGCUGCAAAUCAAAAUUCCCUUCAUGGGACAAUAAAGAUUUACCUGCCUUGUCUUGACAUGUUUCCUUUAUUCAUUUACCAUUGCUAUUUACCGUAGGCGUAUUAUUUGAGCACUUCCAUUUAAAGAAACAAUCCCCAAUAAGGCUCAGUCUCAACCCUGUUGCCAACCUAGUCUGGAAGUUAUAGUGACACAUGGAGGAAAUCAUUAUAUGGAGAGACAAGACUGCGGUGAACCCAACAAAACAUAAUCAUCUGCAUAAAUGUUCCCCAAACCUGCUGUUACAGUAAUAUAAAUUAAGUUUAUGCUAUAGUCUCUUUGUAAAAUUAGAAGAUUUGACAGUAUGUGCUUUUAUUUGCACACUAGAUACUUUUAUAGAUAUUUUACAGUGUGGAGAUUAUAGUAGGAGGCUGUUGCAAAUGCAAAAUAGAUAGAUAAGGUGCAGAACAAACGCAGGGCUCUUUUUUAUAAUGUCUCUAUAAAGGUAAAUAAAGAAAAGCAGAACCACAAUCUCUCAGUGUUUAUCAUUCACCUUUCACCCUCCAAAUAGCACACACCAAACAGAUCAAGCCAUGUUUUAAAGCAAGAGAAGAGAAAAGACGUAACAUUUCUUACAAAUAAAACUUGAAGUACUUGUACUGUAUCGCUUGCUUGUUUGUUAAGGAUGCUGGUACGAUUUUUGAUGACAUUUAGCUCUUGUUCUUAUGGAGUUUGAAUGCACUUAGUGUAAGGUGCUUUGAACUAAAGAUUCUGUCAAUAAAUGUAAUGUAAUAUAACAACACCCCUGGUUGGAAACAAAUCAGUUUACUGUAUUAAAAAACACACCAUAAACAUAUCUGAUUUAGUGAGGACAAAUGUGAACUAUGGGCUUGUAUUUAUCAGUUUCAUUGACCAACAGAACAAAGAACGUCUUGUAUAUGUUGCAGAGGAGACUGGUCCAUAGAGGCAAAGGAGGUUGCUCCUCCUCUAUUUUUAAGAGGCAAGAGGGAGAUCAAAAUAUAAAAAAGAGUAAUCGGUUGAAAUAAACCAUUACCAUUCUCAGUAUCAUUUAUAAAAUAUUUUUUCUAUCUCCUUUGGAAAAAAUGUAUUAUUGAAAUUCUGAUUAAAAUGCUUCAACAGCGACACCUGCAGGGCAGAGGGGAAAGGGCAGUCAGUGUGAAGUGGUGGUGGGGGGCAGAGGAGGACGGGCUCCUGCUGUCCCCCUUAGGGCGGGAUCUCGUUUACCAAUUUAAUGACCUUCAUUUUUUUUCAUUCUAAUCUGUUAUUGGCUCAAAACACAUGAAAUUAUGCUCGGGGGGCGUCCUCCUUAACCGAUCAACAACCAAAAUACAAUAUUGACAUGGAGUUGGCCAUAGAUAGAUUCGUGGAGUAGCAGCAUUUUAGAAAAUAAAUUAUCAUGUGCAAACUGCUCACUACUUUUAAACACAUCAUUAGGAAACUACAUUUAUUUAGGCCUUUUCAACAGAGUCCAAAUGUCCUUUUUUCAGAUUUACGUUUCCCUUUUUUUAAUCGAACAGUAGCUAGCUAGCUACUUGCGUUAGCCAACGCAACCAUGGCCACCAUCACUCAGACAAAAGAUGUGUAAUUUUGUUGGAAAGUGUGGAAAAGUAUGAGGGAUCACCGCGUUGGAUAAAGGCAUUCUUCCGGUAACACUCGUUGCUUUUUCACAUGAUGUUUUGUUUGAAAGCCCCCUCGCGUGUCGGAGAAUAUUGCAACGGACAGCGCGUUCAGCUUAAACGCUUCUGGGCAUGCUCGCAGCUCUGCGGAGGCACGCGCCGCGGUGUCUCGCGCGAGUAUAAACAAAGCUUCGGCUGUCCGGGCCGGACCCACGGCGGGACCACGGUGGCGUGCCGCGGUCUGGAUCCGACGGGCUGCCGGCAUGGAGGAUGUUGCUGGUUUGAUUAUUGCUAGAUUUAUUUUAACCAGCCACCUAAUCUGGACCAGGUUUUUACCAAUGGUGUUGGGAUAAUUACUUUGAUAUAUUUACUUUGUAGCCUAGAAAUAGAGCUUGUGUGUUUAAACUACUUUGUUAAGGAUAAUUGCCAGCUGGUUACUUAUAUGUAUAUUUAAUUUCUCUUAAUAGAAACCACACACUACCUUAAACGUGUCCUGGUGAAACGGUACUUGUGAUAAUGAAUCGUUAAGCUUUGUUUGUCUAACUGGAAAUCAGGCCAGCUUGGAUUCAACCAGCAAGUGGUCUUCAUCAGUCACCACACUUUGUUUCACAGGUGUUGAACGCUGGCCUGCUUCUUGUUUUAUCUCACACCAUUGAUAAAUAGGCAGCUGUUGGUCGGACAAAACAAGGAAUUUGAAGACGUCACUUUGGGUUCUGGGAAAUUAAGCUCUAGCAAAAGUCUUUGCAGAUCCAUCAGUUCAUCAUUCCAUAAACUUCUUUAGCCAUCAGCCUCAGCAGAAGUCAUCAGCCACCACCACCAGUGUCUGGUUUCCAUGGGGGGAUUUAUUCUGCCACUGCUCAGGGCAGAUGCCUCCAUUACCAAAAGCUCCCUGUGGAAUCUAAGCGCCAAAGACUCUGUCAAGAUUAACAUCUCACAUCAUCUGUUUCAAUAAAAAAUCUUUACUUCA